UACGUAGGAGGCAAGCGUUGUCCGGAAUUACUGGGUGUAAAGCGCGUGUAGGCGGCAGGCCAAGUCUGUGGUGAAGUCGCUCGGCUCAACUGGGCGGGGUCCAUGGAAACUGGUCAGCUGGAGGACGGUAGAGGUGAGUGGAAUUCCCGGUGUAGUGGUGAAAUGCGUAGAGAUCGGGAGGAACACCCGUGGCGAAGGCGGCUCACUGGGCCGGUCCUGACGCUGAGACGCGAAGGCGUGGGGAGCGAACGGG
rnacentral:rRNA from 1 species